rnacentral:rRNA from 1 species
GACAGAGGGUGCAAACGUUGUUCGGAAUUACUGGGCGUAAAGCGUGUGUAGGCGGUUUGGCAAGUCGGAUGUGAAAGCCCCGGGCUCAACUCGGGAAGUGCACUCGAUACUGCUAAACUUGAGUGUCGGAGAGGUUGGUGGAAUUCUCGGUGUAGAGGUGAAAUUCGUAGAUAUCAGGAAGAACACCCGUGGCUAAGGCGGCUCUCUAGUACGGUACUGACGCUGAGACGCGAAAGCGUGGGGAGCGAACAGG